UCUCUCUCUCUCUCUCUCUCUCUCUCUCUCUCUCUCUCUCUCUCUCUCUCUCAUGUGUUAAGCAAACCCCUGCGUCUUAAUCUGACCCCUGCCCUCUGGACUACAACAUAAAAACAGCUCAACACAAAAGUGCUCUUCUGGCAGGACACACACACAGCCUAUAGCUUUUGUCCCUAGUAAGCAUUUCCUCAGGACAAUAUGUCCAGCUGACCCCGUCUCACCCAGGCUGAGUGAUUAUAACAGUUCAAUAGCAGCCGCUAACCCCAGUGGUUCAGGGCUUUGUUUCAGACAGGCUCUAAAUAUUUGUUUUUAAGUCAGCAUUGUUAUCCAGUGCACGUGUUAACAAUCAACCCCAUCUUUACAAAGUCUGCAGCUACAUGAAUUAUCUAGAGCAGGGCUGUCCAUAUAUGGCUCUUCUGAGGUAUCCCAUUUAAGGCUUUUACUUUAAAAAAAAAAAAAACUGCAAGAACAGUCUAGUCUUGGGUAGAAACAAGUACAAAGUGCGACGAAAUGAAUGAGCAGAAAACUACUGAACCAUUUCUGUGUAGCUGCCUGUAUUUAGUCAGCUUUUUAGUUAUUUAGUAACUGUUUUUGUUAAGGAUAUAUAUAUUUUUGUACGUCUCUUUUAGCAAAAAAAAAAGCUGGAGAGCUCUGAUCUAUAUUAUCUGCAUCAAUCUACAAUCUCUCUCUCUCUCUCUCUCUCUCUCUCUCUCUCUCUCUCUCUCUCUCUCUCUCUCUCUCUCUCUAUAAUGUAUUUGAUAAGAAGUACAGUCCUGCUUCCUUUAAAAACUAGUAUGUGCCAUACUUACUGUAGGGUGUGUAACUACAGCCAUUAACUAUACUGUGAUCUUUGUUAUAUAACUAUAAUGCGAUCUUUGUUAUAUAUAAGUGUUGGCACACCAGGCUGCAUGCAGACACACGCACACACACUCGCAUCUCACACAUACACCAGGUGAACAAUUAGAGAAGUCUCACUCGCAAACAAUGCAACCCCGACAAAAAACAUAACCUCGGGAGACUUUGGGAACGGAUAAGGGGGUGAAGAAUAGAUCUUUCGGACGAUAUCAGACGACAGAAUGCCCCAGUCAGGCAUUCUGCGAGGAUCGUAAACGGAGAGCACUGCGUUGGUGUGAUGGAUUGCUCGUUAUCUUCUUUAGCGGAUAUUUGAAGAGGGGGCAAUUAUCUACUCAGGGAGGUGAGUAAGUCUGACUACACAGAAAUGCAAACAGUUCAUUAAUCUGUUUCAGAGCAAGCUAUACAGUAAAACCUGUCUAAUCCAGCAUCGACAGGGACCAGAGAAUUGUGCCGGAUUAUACAGUGUGCUGGAUUACAGCGGUAAUGCAAAAUAUAAUACUGUACCCCAAUAUAUCAUUAAGAAACUAUCUGAAUGCUUUGCAAAACUUAUUAUAGUACACACAGCAGAAGUGCUGUCCAGGUAUACUCAGCAAUUCAUUUUAAUGAUUUCCAUGCGAUUUAUAGAAAAAAAAAGCCACACAACUCUGCUUGACUGCAAAGUUUUAUAUCGAUUUUAAGCAGGACAAGACUUUAAAAUCAGACCCCAGAUUAGACAGGUUCUGGAUUGUAGUGGGGAUCACACCAUUGAUAUCAAUAGGGAUUUAGUUGGGACCCCAAAAUGAUGCUGGAUUAUACAGAACACCAGUUUGGAGAGGAGCUGGACUAGAUUUUUACUGUGUGACACAUAACACUGGCUGCUGACAUUCUGUUCUUAGCUUCUUUUGUGUUGGAAAUGUGAAACAUGUUAAACUGUUAUGCAGAUGUCUUGAUAACAGCAUUACUGUCAAUGCUCUAGGGUGCUGUGAAGGUGAAGCAGCAAGGGGUGGUAACAGGUAUGGGACCCACAGCACGUCACACUCUGGCAUUUAGCAGGUGAUGUUAAAUGUCACUGCCUGCAAACACCACCUGAACAAACAUUCCUUUGCAUGUGCAGGUUUAGUUUAAUCUACCUGUUUUGUUUAUUCAGCAUUGGGACUAUCCUAAAACCUGGAAUGGAUGAAACUGCUAUGCAACCAGAGUUUUAUCCCUGGUAUCAGACUGUGGGGAUAAAUGCAGAUGUCGCGCUGUCUGCACAACCAUCCAUCUGUAUACAGUUAUUCCACACGCUGUAAAAUUUUGAAACAUACUUCACCAUGACACUAACACCUUACCUAAUGACAUCUUAAAACUAUUUAUUGCCAUUGUAUAGACAGAACAGAAAAAAAAGGCAGUCAGGCAGGCGCUUAAGGGGUUAAACCCUCUAGCAAACGAACAUAAAGUUCCAGCAUUGUCCUGCGAAUGGUGUGAAGGAAUGGUUACACAAGUGAGCAGACUGGAGUUUUGCAAUGGGGGCAGGGAGAGGCGGGGCUCUGAGACUGUAUCUCACAGACACUAAAUGAGUUCCCAGUGCUGGACACAGUGUCACGUAUUGUCCUGGGCUCUUUUGCAGCAGGCAGUGUAGCACGCUCCCAGGGCUGCCUCAAUGGGGCUGGCUGAAUGAGAUCAGAGGAUCGCUUUAAUAGGACUACAAGAAUCCCUUUCACGGGGGCGACAGACACCCACACAAAGACGCUGGGCAGUUAACAGGGUGAUGGAGAGAGUCAGGCUGUCUGCUCUCUAUGUCUUCAUCGCGACACAAUAAACCUGCAAGCUAGCAAUAAAGCCACUGCUGCAAUGAAGCCGCAAGAUCCCCCAUCAACCCUGUGGGCAGCGUGUGACCGUAACAGAAGUGUGAUUGCAUUAAGGGGUACCUAUCGUCUUGCAUUCUGCACUUCAAUGUGGAGCUAAGAAAGGUUUUAAAAUAUGUUUUAAUUCACUGCCCCCCCCCUUUAUUCUGAUAAUCUGUUUUUUUUUUUUCUCUUUGCUUGUAUUUUAUACUUCAGAUUGGAAUAUGCAGGCAGAUUUACCAGGGACUAGAGUUUCAAACUCCUGGCCCCGGGUCAUUGCAAUAAGGGAAGUUCCGAAGCCCUGGAUUGAGUGCAGGGGUAGUCCAAGUUUCAAGCCUUGUGGAGCUAAUGCUGCUAACAGAAGGUAACUUAGCACUCCGAAAACAGAGGUAUUUUCACAGGGACUUGCGUCAUCACUUCACAGGGAGUGCAGAAUUUCGCUAGCUCAGUGCCGCAGACAGACCUCCACAGUGCUGCACAGUGGAGACAUACACAAAUACCUGACCAGGGUCACAGCAAGCCAAACCCAGCAGACACUGGACCACACACCAGUCCAUCACACACAGCAAUUUAGAGCUGCCAAUCAACCUGAACAGCAUGUCUUUGGACUGUGGGAGGAAACUGGAGUACCUGGAGAAAACCUGGAUUUGAACCCAUGACCCUGGUGCUGUGAGGCAGCAGCGCUAACCACCACGCCACCCUGCUGCCUGAGUAUGGUCUAGCACAAUUGAAAAAAAAAAAAAAACAGGUACUUUGAUUAAGGGUGUAGAAAAGAUCCAUUUUAAGGAUUGAUUCUCUGGCCUCCUGUCUCUGGUUUCCCCAAAACCCGUGGAACACCCCCCACCCCCUCCCACUGGCACGAGCUUCACAGCCUAUCAAACGUCAUUCCAGCCAGUAUGAGAGCAGAAAGCAUGGCAGGCCGUUGACUUGACAUGCAGGAUGUUGACCUGGUUGCUAACAAUGGCCCGUUUGUUCAGUGUUGUCCUGAUCAAAGAUGUGCUGUGCUGCGCACACGAGGAAAGGGCCAAGAGCCCUCGCUUCACUCCCAGAGCAACCGGCUUUGAUUUCCAGCGUUUGCACAUUCCUUACUUUCAGUUGAUAAUACCUUUUUGUUGUUCCUGCAGGAUCUUCUCGUAGUUGUCCAGAGUUUAAAUUUGUAAAGCAAAUGUUGGUAGCAUUAAAUCAAGUUUGCAGAACCCCUUUUCACCUGUUUUAGAGCAGGUGAAUUCAUCUAUACGAAUUUCUUAAAGCACUACCUGGCAAGUGUUUUAUAAACACUUAGACAUGGCCUAAGACAGAAAACAGUCCUUCAAGUUUUGUGAUGGAAGCCUGUGAAGGAAUGCAGUAAACAAUAAGCAAACGAUGUGUGAGCAGGACAGGGAAUUUACAGCAAACCCACUGUUAAUUAAACUAUUCCAGAACUGAAGUAAGUGUAAUAAACAGCUUUCUCAAUCGCGUGUGUGUGUGUUUGAGAGAAAGGGAGGCAGUAUGCAACACAGCGAAUGAGGCCAGCAGGGAAAGAGCCUUGCUAAUUCCCUGUUCUCAUGCUUGUGUGUAAGCACUUCCUGUGGAAAAUGGAUAAAGGCCAUUGUUGGUAAAGAGAGAGAGAGAGAGAGAGAGAGAGAGAGAGAGCUUCGCCAAAGCAGCGACUGGAGAGGAGAACUAUUUUGGUGUCAAGGAGUCGGGAAGGAUCUUGCAAAGCUUUGGAGAUGGAAUGCGGAAAUGCUGGGACCUUUGACCUGGUUCUCGCUGCAGAUUCCGCUAGGUGAUGUUGGGGGGGGGGGGGGGGGGGGACUUUUAUACUUUGACCUACUUGUGUCCCUGCCCCCCGCCCUUCCUAAGGUUAAUUCCGGUCCUUCCCAGCUGAUAGUGUCCCAGCCUUUCUUGUCUUUAUGGAUUUCCUGUCAGGACUGGGUGGUCCCUCUGGGGCACAGAGCCAGACGUGAACUGGUUUUGUAGCCUGACUCUGACUGUAGGGUUUCAUACGCCAGCACUAGACCUUUCCUCCCCUCUCUCUCUCCUCAGACAGAAAACGAAACAUUUCUGCUUUUACUAUAAAGAAUACGGCUAUUAUGUAAUCUUGCUGUCACGAAAUCAAGGGAUCUUCAGAAGAAUACUUAAAGGCGUUGUAACAACUUUCUGUGAAGUACGUUGUUCUGUUUUGUGGUGAAGCCCAUUUACCUUGACACCCCCACACUGGAGAUCCACACCCCCUGUGGAGCAGGUAGUAUACAAGGGGGAUUCUAACACCUUCUACAGGCAGUGAAUCUAGAGUGUGGUGGUGUCAAAACUCUAAAGAGGUCUUGAAAAUGAAUCUAUCUACUGAGAAAUGAUAAGGGACUUGUUAGCUAUUGUCUUAAUCAGUGCGCUAUCUGAAACUCUGCUUGACUUUAUUUAGUUUUUCCUUCAUCUUGUGAUUGAAGCAAGAGGUGAAUGACAAGAGACUGUCAGGAAAGUCUAUUAAUGAGAGGUAAGACUAUUUAGAUCCCAGAUUUCUGAAAAUGUACAGAAGUAAUAUUUUAGAAGUUGUUGGAAAGUCUUACUGUCACUUAUAGCCUUGUCCCUCAUUAGACACGCACCCCAAACGUAUCAUGCGAUCAGACAAGGAAAGAACAAUAAAAAAUCCAGCUGGGCCUAUAUAUAGUAUAGGUUGAUCAAAGUAUAGCAACGUUUCAGCUAGUGUCUUUGUCAGUGUCACAGCUGGCUUUGCAAAGGGAAACCAACAGAAUUUUCCCCUUUUUUUUUCCAGACAGAAGCAGAUAGCCCUCCGAAUUUCGAAAGGAAAACAGAGUUUCUUUUCAGUGAGUCGUUACCCAGCGCACGUCAGCGACUGCCAUUUCAGACGAGGUUCCUCCCAGCAAAAGAGAAGCUCAUGGAAAAAGAUCAUGUUUUAGGAAAAAUGUACUGAAACGAAAGCGUUGGGGAGAGAGGGAGUGCACUGCUAGCGUGCGUGCGCGUGUGUGUGUGUGUGU